AUCCAUCUGAUGAGUCCCAAAUAAGACGAGACACCCGUCCUGGAU
rnacentral:hammerhead_ribozyme from 1 species